rnacentral:rRNA from 1 species
UACGUAUGGAGCAAGCGUUAUCCGGAUUUACUGGGUGUAAAGGGAGCGCAGGCGGCUUUGCAAGUCUGAUGUGAAGGGCCGGGGCUCAACCCCGGGACUGCAUUGGAAACUGUAAAGCUAGGGUGCCGGAGAGGUAAGCGGAAUUCCUAGUGUAGCGGUGAAAUGCGUAGAUAUUAGGAGGAACACCAGUGGCGGAGGCGGCUUACUGGACGGCAACUGACGCUGAGGCUCGAAAGCGUGGGGAGCAAACAGG